rnacentral:rRNA from 1 species
GCUCUAAUAGCGUAUAUUAAAGUUUGUUGCAGUUAAAAAAGCUCGUAGUCGGAUGUCGGGCUCGGGCAGGCUGUCGGCUUCGGUCGGACGGCAGGCUCGGGUCUUCUGCCUGAGGAACCGUGGCACUUAACUGUGCGGCGUGGGGACGCAGGCCGUUUACUUUGAAAAAAUUAGAGUGUUCAAGCAGGCCUACGCUUGAA